UCCACUGUUGCUGUAUCAUCUUUGCUUUCCAAUUUCUCUAGGUAAUGCCUGACAAUCUGGAAAUAAAGAAACAAAUCUUCUCAUCGCGCUCACCAUGUGGUACUGGAAUAGUAGCUUCUUUCUCAAAAAAGGACAGAUGUAUUGGCCCUCACCUCAUUCAUCUCUCUCACUAUUUUAUCUGAGGUUGUUCACAAUUGACAACUAGCUACUUGUAAUGCAGAUUAUGCAGGCUAUGCAGCGUCUGAGGAGGAUAACAGAAGUAAAAAAUAAAGGUGGAAAAGCCCUCACUUUGGUUCAAAUGAAAACUAGACUUAAUGUGUUCACUUUAAAUGUCUUUCAGUAAUAUUCUCAUCCCUGAAUAAAGAUAAUUUCAACUAGUAGCCAAACGUAGAGGCUGUAUAGAACUACUGAGUCACGAUCACCUGAAGCAAGCACUGAGACAGCCCUGGGAGCACGGGUGAAGGCGAUCCAGCUGUGUGACCAGAAAGGAUGGAGCCUGGCUGCACCUCUCUUAGACCCCCCAUUUAAGGACUGACUGCCACAGGGGAAGGGUCUCUCUCUGGAGGUCCCUCCUCUUGGAGUUUUUCUUGCAAGCCCACAACACAGAGUUUGCACAUGGAAGCGUGACUGUGCUUGCAGUUCUGCAGUACAAAAGGCAACCAGGGGAUAAUCAAGGAAAGAACUGCCUAGGAUGUCAGGGCUGGCCACUGAUGGGGAAAAAAAAUGAAUCGGAUGAGAACUGAGAGAAGUAUAAGAAACCAAGCACAGAGCUCCAUGGCCUUGAAGUCUGAAAAUGAAACACUGAAAACAGCAAGCGCGAAACAACUACAAAAACUGUGUUGUUCUUACUGCACAGAUUUCCCAGGAAAAAUCUGUAGUAGUCUUAAUGAAAUAAUUUAGCUUGCCUUUUUGCCUAAAGGAACAAUGCAGCAUUAUUAUUUUCAUACUAAGGGUUCUUGUCUGAUUUCACUUGUGUUUGAACAUGCCUCUGGGGCUUCUGAGAAUGGCCAGUACCCUAUUUGAUGAAGUAACUGGCGUCUGCACCCAAGAUGAAACUUACCUCUAAGCAGAGUCAGCCAAAGGUCUCUCUACUGUUUAAAUGAAAUUAAGAGUUUAUUCUGAUCCUCUGCAGUCUAUUAAUCUUUCCUUGGGAAAGAAAAAAAAAAAUCUACGCUGCACAUUUCAGACUAUGUAUGUUUCACUUAAAAGGAGAAAAAAGCCUCAGGUGGACACUUUCAAGAUUACAUUUCAGGAUUUUGAUUUCCUUUUUCUGAUUAAAAAAAUCAAUCACAUUAAAUGAAAUCAAAACAGUCAGAAUACUCCCCUGUCUUGUAAAAAUCCUAUACAUCCAGUUCUUGAGCUUGUACGUGCAUUUUUGUUACGCUGUGGACUGAUAAUUCUGCAAAAUAUUACAGUAUUGCAUAAUAAAUGCUAUGCUUUACCUGCCACACCAUUUUCGAAAUGAUUUCAUUUUCUUAAUCAGGAAAACAGUUCUUUUAGUUGGACCAAGGUCAGUUCAUACUGCAGUAGUUUUCAUGACUGGUCCAUCCAUUUUGUAUCUCAGAAGAUGGGCGUCCUUGAGAAUCACGUGGUUUGAUUUUUUUUUCUUUGUUAGUUUGUUUGCUGGAUAUUUCCUGGAUAUUUUUCUGCCUAAAGUUGUUCCUUGCCACCUGUUACCUGAUUCUUCAAUUGCAUCAACUUUCUCUUCCGUGACAGUUGUUGGCAUCCUGCUAAGGACGAGUAAGCACUCUUGGUUCUCAAAAUGGUAUAGGUUUUCACUUGGUUCAGUCCCUAGAAAGGUAGGGCAAAAAUAUUUUUGCAUCCCAUUCUUUCUUCGUUCCAGAACCAGCAAUUAUUGAACCACUGUUUUUAAUGUUGUUCAGUCAAUAGACUGUGUGUUUUCCUCUUGUAUACCUCAAAAUUAAAAUAAAUAUGUAACAGAUGUCAAUCUAUCUAUACAUGUAAAUGCAUGUUUUGGAUGUAGUUUUCUUGGGUUUGGAAUAACCUUAUUUCCUCUUAAUUUGUAUUUUAAUACAAAUAAAUAAAUAAA